UGGCUCUCGCAUCGAUGAAGAACGCAGCGAAAUGCGAUAAGUAAUGUGAAUUGCAGAAUUCAGUGAAUCAUCGAAUCUUUGAACGCACCUUGCGCUCCUUGGUAUUCCGAGGAGCAUGCCUGUUUGAGUGUCAUUAAUUUCUCAACCUUACCAGCUUUGCUGCUCGGUAUGGCUUGGAUGUGGGGGUAUAUUGCAGGCUUUUACAAGUCAGCUCCCCUGAAAUGCAUUAGCGGUACCCUUCUGUGGUAAAUGGCUAUUGGUGUGAUAACUAUCUACGCCAUUAGACACCCACAACUUAUAUGGGGUCAUGCUGCUUCUAACAGUCCUUUGGACAAACUUAAAUGACAAUUUUGACCUCAAAUCAGGUAGGAUUACCCGCUGA
rnacentral:misc_RNA from 1 species